UCGCCAUUACAGCUUCCUUUUUACCUGCUGCAAGCGACGUAGGCGAGCGACAGAGAUUGUCCUGACACAGGCGUCUCUCCUUGGUUUACCGGAAUUCUAAUCUGCCCCAUCUCUCGUUAUGCUCGUGCGGAUGCUCCAACGCCUCGAAAAACAAAACAUUCUGCCGUAACCGAAAAGUGGGGUGCCCCAACUUCCUCUGGUUUUCUUGAAAAGAUGUCAGAUAGAUGCUUUCUCCUUGAUUCAUCUUGUUCUUUCUUUUUUGAUUACGUUGCUGGGUUUGUUCAUCGAGUAGUUUCAGAGGAGAUCACGUACAAAGCAGUAAUCUUCAAGGAAACUUCCUCCCUGGGGCUUCCUGUAGCAGUGACAGAGCUACAGUAAUGGAGCCUCUGGAGGGUUCUUUCGUGGGAACUACCUCCUCUGAGGAAGAUGAUCCUUUUCCAUCAGUAAAAGAGAGGAGAAUCCCGAUCUGCAUUUUCUUUCGUAACGCGAGGCUCAUUUUGAAAUUUGAUGAACUUGGUCGAGAGAUAGCUCAAAUAGCAUUGCCUGCUGCCCUUGCUUUGACUGCCGACCCUAUUGCGUCUCUUGUUGACACGGCUUUCAUCGGUCGAAUUGGUCCUGCGGAACUAGCAGCUGUGGGUGUAUCAAUUGCGCUGUUCAAUCAAGUGUCGCGGAUCGCUAUAUUCCCGCUCGUCAGUGUCACCACAUCCUUUGUUGCCGAGGAAGAUACUAUUAGAAGUGUGAGCUCUGAAGCGCAGGAGAGCGAAUGCUUGGAGGCGUGCUCUAUUGAAAAUGCCGAAAAUAUGGAGUUGAUACCCCAAAAUGAAUCCAGUGAUCAUCUGUCCGAGUUGAUACAGAUCAGUAGCUUCAAAGUAUCGAAGUUUGACCAGAUGCCCAGAAGAAGACACAUCCCAUCGGCUUCAUCUGCGUUGGUAAUUGGCAGUGUUCUCGGUCUUCUUCAAGCCAUUUUUCUCAUUUCCGCCGCAAAACCAUUGCUGAAUUUCAUGGGAGUGGGAUCAGAUUCCCCUAUGCUAACUCCUGCCCAACAGUACUUGACAUUGAGGUCACUUGGUGCACCAGCAGUUCUUCUCUCGCUCGCCAUGCAGGGGGUCUUCCGUGGAUUUAAAGAUACGACAACGCCUUUGAUUGCAACUGUGGCGGGAGAUGUAACGAACAUAAUCUUAGACCCCCUAUUCAUAUUUGUUUUCCAUCUGGGCGUCAGUGGUGCGGCUAUUGCCCAUGUUAUAUCUCAGUACGUGAUUUCACUUAUUCUCCUGUGGAAACUGAUGCAGCAAAUUGAUCUCUUACCUCCAAGUUUUAAACAUUUGCAGUUUGGCCGUUUUCUAAAGAAUGGUUUUCUGCUACUAAUGAGAGUUGUCGCCGUGACGUUCUGUGUGACUCUUGCCGCAUCCAUGGCGGCUCGCUUGGGGCCGACAUCGAUGGCCGCAUUUCAAGUCUGCUUGCAAGUGUGGUUGGCGACAUCGCUCCUUGCAGAUGGGCUUGCUGUCGCUGGACAGGCAAUCCUGGCAAGCGCGUUUGCGAAGAAGGAUUACAACAAGGCCAGAGAGACCACAUCCCGAGUACUCCAGUUGGGACUGCUUCUGGGACUGGCGCUAGCAGUCCUUCUCGGAGUAGGAAUGCAUUUUGGAGCAAGAUUAUUCACAACGGAUGUUGGUGUCCUCCGUGUAAUCAGUAUCGGAAUACCGCCUCUGAUCAACAUCAGUUUAUUGCUGCUACUCAACCCAUAAAUGCCUUGGCCUUCGUUUUUGACGGCGUCAACUUUGGAGCGUCUGAUUUUGCAUACUCUGCCUACUCCAUGGUCGCUGUCGCCGUGGUCAGCAUUCUCUGCUUGUUUAUACUUUCGUCUAGUCAUGGCUUCAUUGGAAUUUGGAUUGCUCUAACCAUUUAUAUGAGCCUCCGGGCAUUUGCUGGAUUUUGGAGGAUCGGGACUGGGACGGGUCCUUGGAAUUUUCUCUGGGGCUGAACAAGUAAUCCACAGGCGGCUUUGCUGCAAAUUCAUAUCGCCGCUAUGUGAUGGUCCCUAUCUGUACACUAUAUAGGAAUAGAAAGGAAACUGACGAAAAGGGCCGGCUUUAUCUCACAUUGGCUAGCAAGGAAGAUGGAGAGCCUGUCGAAAACAAUAAUCUGGAAGCGUAGUUAUGUAUAUAGAUUAUUAUGCGCACAGCGCCAAUAGUUUUCAGCCUUCUUUCUCGGUGGAGCAUUAUGUGUGUGUUAGAUUUGCUAAAACCAAAUGACUGCCCGUUCGAUCUCUGCAUCGGGCGUGAAAAUAGCUCCAGCUUCGAAGGCUAUGUUAGAUUUUGCCCAUGAAUCUUCUGCUCAACCACCUUCUGUCAAAUCUGUACAUAACUUUCACAGGAAAAGAGAAUCUUUAGAGAGAUGAUGUAAGUCUUGGUUUCUCUGUUGGGAUGGUUGCUUCUUCCUCCCAUGACUGUCUUCCACGUCAAGUUAAGACCCUGUUUCACUUCGCUUGCAAACCAGGAGUUUCAACCGCGGCAGCAGCAGGAGCAAGAACAGAUACAUAAAUACUGCAAGUACAGCAUUAGGUAUGUGCAGUUCAUAUAUGCAUGUCUCGGGGCGAUUUGGUAUUGAGAGAUGUCGGCUAACGGGUCCGAUCACGAGCUUAAGGAACCUUGUGCUGUUCGAUGAGAAUAACGAUUGCUUGGCAGUCUCUUGAUCAUCGAUGAGAAUAAUGAGGCCACAUUAUUGUGUGAUUA